AUUGAACGCUGGCGGCAUGCCUUACACAUGCAAGUCGAACGGCAGCACGGGGCAACCUGGUGGCGAGUGGCGAACGGGUGAGUAAUGCAUCGGAACGUGCCAUUGAGUGGGGGAUAACGUAGCGAAAGUUGCGCUAAUACCGCAUAUUCUGUGAGCAGGAAAGCAGGGGACCGCAAGGCCUUGCGCUCUUUGAGCGGCCGAUGUCAGAUUAGCUAGUUGGUGAGGUAAAGGCUUACCAAGGCGACGAUCUGUAGCGGGUCUGAGAGGAUGAUCCGCCACACUGGAACUAGAGACACGGUCCAGACUCCUACGGGAGGCAGCAGUGGGGAAUUUUGGACAAUGGGCGCAAGCCUGAUCCAGCCAUGCCGCGUGAGUGAAGAAGGCCUUCGGGUUGUAAAGCUCUUUCGGCCGGGAAGAAAUCGCAUGGGUUAAUACCCUGUGUGGAUGACGGUACCGGAAUAAGAAGCACCGGCUAACUACGUG
rnacentral:rRNA from 1 species